GGCCAUAGCUCAGCUGGGAAAGCGCCUGCCUUGCACGCAGGAGGUCAGCGGUUCGAUCCCGCUUGGCUCCCCAUU
rnacentral:tRNA from 1 species